AACAAACGCUGGCGGCGUGUCUUAAGCAUGCAAGUUGAGCGGCAAGGAGGAGAGAUCCUCCCUAGAGCGGCGGACUGGUGAGUAACGCGUGGGUAAUCUAUCGUAGGCAUGGGGAUAGUCACUAGAAAUAGUGGGUAAUACCGAAUACGUUCCAUGAGGGGAGUACUUAUGGAAGAAAGGGUGCUACGGCACUGGCCUUAGGUGAGCCCGCGUCCCAUUAGCUAGUUGGUGGUGUAAAGGACCACCAAGGCGAUGAUGGGUAGCCGGCCUGAGAGGGUGAACGGCCACAUUGGGACUGAGACACGGCCCAGACUCCUACGGGGGGCAGCAGUGAGGGAUUUUCGGCAAUGGGCGAAAGCCUGACCGAGCGACGCUGCGUGAGCGAAGAAGGCCUUCGGGUCGUAAAGCUCUGUCUAGGGGGAAGAGUAAGGACGGUACCUCUGGAGGAAGCCACGGCUAACUACGUG
rnacentral:rRNA from 1 species